GUGCUCACUUCAGCAGAACAUACAUUCAAAUUGGAAAGAUACAGAGACUAGCAUGGCCCCUGAACAAGGGUGAAACACAAAUUCGUGAAGUGUUCCAUAUUCAU